rnacentral:rRNA from 1 species
GAUGAACGCUGGCGGCGUGCCUAAUACAUGCAAGUCGAGCGAACGGACGAGAAGCUUGCUUCUCUGAUGUUAGCGGCGGACGGGUGAGUAACACGUGGAUAACCUACCUAUAAGACUGGGAUAACUUCGGGAAACCGGAGCUGAUACCGGAUGAUAUUUUGAACCGCAUGGUUCAAAAGUGAAAGACGGUCUUGCUGUCACUUAUAGAUGGAUCCGCGCUGCAUUAGCUAGUUGGUAAGGUAACGGCUUACCAAGGCAACGAUGCAUAGCCGACCUGAGAGGGUGAUCGGCCACACUGGAACUGAGACACGGUCCAGACUCCUACGGGAGGCAGCAGUAGGGAAUCUUCCGCAAUGGGCGAAAGCCUGACGGAGCAACGCCGCGUGAGUGAUGAAGGUCUUCGGAUCGUAAAACUCUGUUAUUAGGGAAGAACAUAUGUGUAAGUAACUAUGCACAUCUUGACGGUACCUAAUCAGAAAGCCACGGCUAACUACGUG